rnacentral:tRNA from 1 species
GCCACGGUGGUGGAACUGGUAUACACGAAGGACUUAAAAUCCUUUGAGAGUAAUCUCAUGCGGGUCCGAUUCCCGCCCGUGGCACCA